UACGUAGGGUGCGAGCGUUAAUCGGAAUUACUGGGCGUAAAGCGUGCGCAGGCGGUUGGGCAAGACCGAUGUGAAAUCCCCGGGCUUAACCUGGGAAUGGCAUUGGUGACUGCACGGCUAGAGUGUGUCAGAGGGGGGUAGAAUUCCACGUGUAGCAGUGAAAUGCGUAGAGAUGUGGAGGAAUACCGAUGGCGAAGGCAGCCCCCUGGGAUAACACUGACGCUCAUGCACGAAAGCGUGGGGAGCAAACAGG
rnacentral:rRNA from 1 species